UGUGCUUUAGGUGCAAAACCUUACGACAUGAAAUGAUUCAUUUUUUAGACUAAUAUACAAUCUCAAUAUUGAAUUUCUCAUUAUUUUUCUUUGUGCUUGACGACAUAAAUGGUUCCAGCAAAAUUAACCUGAUCAACAUUUCAAAUAAUAAUAAGUACAUCAGCAGAGUGCCCAAAAAAAAAAACAGAACUGGGGAAAAAAAAUCUAGACUUUUGCUGGUUCCAGUUAGACUUUGGUAGUACUGGCUUAUUUAGGUCGUGGUGCAGAGAAUGCGGUAGUGGUGGGUUUAAUGGCAAUUGUUAUAAAUAUGAUGGUAAUUUAGACAGCUGGUUUUGGGUUGGGGUGGGACAGUGGGAAAUAUAUGAUGGAGUAUUGAGACCAUCAUAGAUUUGUGUAUUUAUAGUGAUGGUAUGGUUGUGAUGGCGGCGAUGAUCAAGUUGUGUGGCUAGUGGUCUGGAUGGGAUUGGUAGCAAUGCUGUGAUGGUGGUGGUGGCAAUACACAAAAUUGAUAAUGGAGGUGGUUUAGUGAUGGUAGUGCUGCCUGGUAGUCUAGUGUCUGGCGAUGAGCGUGGAGAUCAAAUAGUUGGUUGCUACAUGGCAGUCACUAAUGGUAUCAGUAUCGGUAGGUGGUUGUGUGGACAAUGAGUGAUUGUAAAACAUAAGUGGUGUUGGUCCUAGACUAGCAGUGGAGAUUGGGUGGUGUAGUUAGUCCAUCAGCUGUGGUGCAGGUGGGAUGGCAGGAACCAUCAAGUAAUGGUUUAGUUGGUAUUUGAGGAGACAAAUGGAAAAUACACUUCCAAUUUCACCUUUUUAUCACACUGUCUACAAACCAGGCAGUAAAAGUAAAUAAAAAUGAAACUACAUAAAUCGACACAAAACUAACAGAAUGAUGUUAACCUAGCAGUUAAAAUCAUUUUCAACACAAUAAAAAAAACACACUUUCCUUCACAUACUAGGCACAAUAUAAUCUAAAGCAGGACACCGGCUCUCUGUACCUUUCUUUGUGCAGGAAACUUUCCUUCCAAAUCAUACUUGGUUAUCAUUUACAGCAACAGGCAAUGGAUGUGGCUUGGUCGGAGAUAUUUAUUUAGCUUUCGCUGUUACAGAAAAGAAAAAAAACCAAUGAGCACAAACCUGAAAGACUUGGCAAUAACAAUAAUCAAACAAACAAAAGACUGAGCAACAGGCAAUGGACUACCGAAAAAAAUAUUGCUUGUGUCUUGAUUUAUGCACUUACCAAGAUUUAUGGUCAUUCCAAAAUCGUUCCACUUUAGCCUCCACUUAUUUUCCUAAAGAUACUUGAUCUCAGAUCACUGGUGGAAACUCGUUUCUUCCUUUUGCAGUCCUCUGAUUUGAUUUCAAUGGCAUCCCAGAACACUGACAAUGAACUAGAAUCAAUCAAUCAAGCAAUGCUUAAUUUGGCAAUUCAAUCUACUAUCUUCUCUCCAAACAUGGAAAUAGACAAAGAACAAACAAGAGUUUAUUUUUAUAGUUUCAAAAGAUUGAAUCCCAAUUUACUCCAUUCCACCAUGAUUUUUUUUGAAAUUAACACUUUUAAAGCGGAAACAUUUGAUUUUGAAAUUUCAUAAAAGUAGAAAAAGGGGUAAGAUUGAAAAUUGUUAGCAAAAAAGGUAAUUGAAUAGGUCAAAUGAGAGUAUGUAUGUAUGUAUGUGUAUCAGUGUAUUGUAUGAAUGUAUGAUUACCACUUACACUGGAACAGCAACAAUGUCGAGACAAGCAUCUCGUAUUGAAUUGGAAGAUUUGGCCAUCGAUUUCAAUUAAUCCUUUCGCCAGCCCGCCCGCCCACCCUUUGAAGGAAAUGAACUCAAGUACUCAACUGGUUUUCGUCGUCUCGGUCCUUCUACUGUAUGUCUGUGUUUGUUGUAACGUAGAGUAUUGG
rnacentral:lncRNA from 1 species